rnacentral:rRNA from 1 species
UACGGGGGGUGCGAGCGUUGUCCGGAAUCACUGGGCGUAAAGGGCGCGUAGGUGGUUUGAUAAGGGUGUGGUGAAAGUCCGGAGCUCAACUCCGGAUCUGCCGUGCCGACUGUCAAACUCGAGGGCUGUAGAGGCAGACGGAAUUCCGGGUGUAGCGGUGGAAUGCGUAGAGAUCCGGAGGAAGACCGGUGGCGAAGGCGGUCUGCUGGGCAGUUUCUGACGCUGAGGCGCGACAGCGUGGGGGAGCAAACAGG